rnacentral:rRNA from 1 species
GUGCCAGCAGCCGCGGUAAUACGUAGGUGGCAAGCGUUAUCCGGAAUUAUUGGGCGUAAAGCGCGCGUAGGCGGUUUUUUAAGUCUGAUGUGAAAGCCCACGGCUCAACCGUGGAGGGUCAUUGGAAACUGGAAAACUUGAGUGCAGAAGAGGAAAGUGGAACUCCAUGUGUAGCGGUGAAAUGCGCAGAGAUAUGGAGGAACACCAGUGGCGAAGGCGAUUUUCUGGUCUGUAACUGACGCUGAUGUGCGAAAGCGUGGGGAUCAAACA